UACAGUAUUUGAGUCAUGUCAUUCUAUUCCAAUUUUUUAUUUCAUUUCAUCCAUAUCUCUGUUUUGCAUUUGUUUAUAUUUGUUAUUCUCAUAAUGUUUUCUAAGUUUAUUUAAGUUUAUCUUUAAAAACUCAAAAUUAAUAAAUAGGCAAAUUGUUUUGUUGUUGCUUUAUGCAUUCUAGUAGUGUGGUGGAGGUGUUGAGUGGGAAUCAAAGGUGAUUGAGACCGUAAUUACUUGUGAUAGUGCUUCAUCGUACUGAGCUUUCAUGAUUGGAUUAUCGCAUAGCGAUAAAGAUAGAGACCGAAUAACUGUGAAAAUUCGUAACAUGAAAAGAAGUUUGUCGAGGGAUAGUAUGCGUACGCGUAGUAGCAUAGGCAGGUGUGACAACAGCUCAGAUGAGCGAGUGACUCCGGAUCGAGUGCGGCGUAGAGUCCGCUCGCCGAGCCCUAGAGGCAGGUACGUAUCACCGCACCGAGAUGAUUAUGUCCGUUCACGUGCAAUAAGAGAAAAGGAAGAGUCUCUGCGUUCCUAUUACAAGGUUCUCUGUGUCAGUGCUCUUCACCCAAAGGCAUCUGAUGAAAUAAUCAAAGAUACUUUGUACAGAGAAUAUAAGAAAUUUGGAGAUUUCAAUAUCAAGAUUUCACAUGAAUUAGAUGAACGUGUUGCAUAUGUUUGCUUUCGCAGUGCUGAAGAUGCUAGAGAUGCUAAACAUGCAAAGCCAAGAAUUAUUUUGUAUGAUAAAGUAGCAAUAGUCGACCCUGUUUAUGAACCAGUCAGGUCAGAGUACCGAAGCAGACCACGCAGUAUUACUCCUCCAGAUUAUGAUCGCCAAUACUCUUAUGCUUGGUCUUCAGUCUCAGAUAGGCGUCGACCACCUCCAGAUGAUAGAGUAUAUGGUAUACCUCCAAGUAUCCCACCUCAUCAUAGGGAUUUUCGACCUCCAAUGCAUGAAUAUCCAAUGUCAGGCCAUCAUGGGCCCCCAAUACAUCAUAGACCACCUGUGCAUCAUCCUCCAUAUCCACAUUAUAUGCCACGCCCAUACAUGCCUCGCCCCCAUCAUGCACAUUUUGAAAAAAUGGAGAAUAAAAAAGAUAAAUUCCCAAACUACUUACACCAUGUACAGCCAGAGGAUGACCCACUAGCUACUCGCACACUUUUUGCUGGAAAUUUAGAAAUUUACAUUUCAGAUGAGGAGCUUCGAUCUAUAUUCAGUCGCUAUGGUAUUGUUGAGGAUAUUGAUAUAAAAAGACCACCACUAGGGACAGGCAAUGCAUUUGCAUUUGUACGGUAUCAAACAUUAGACAUGGCUCAUCGGGCUAAGGUGGAACUUUCUGGUCAAUACAUUGGUAAAUUUCAAUGUAAGAUAGGUUAUGGGAAGGCUACACCUACUACACGUGUAUGGGUGGGUGGCCUUGGGCAUUGGACAUCAGUGGAACAAUUAGAAAGGGAAUUUGAUAGAUUUGGGGCUAUUAAAAAAAUAGAGUUUACAAAAGGUGAAGCUCAUGCAUACAUUUUGUAUGAUUCAAUAGAUGCUGCUCAAGCUGCUGUAAAAGAAAUGAGAGGAUUUGCCCUUGGUGGACCUGAUAGGCGUCUUCGUAUUGACUUUGCUGAUGCAGGAAAUGGUGCACCACAUAGACCUAAGCAAUAUGCACCUGUAGGUGAAAAUGGCAAGUCAGUUGAAGGGUAUGAGGGUACAUGGGAGGAUGGGUAUAGUUAUAGUGCAGGUUACAGGGGUAGGGGUGGUCAUAGAGGCCGUGGACGUGGCAUGUACAGGGGUAUGUAUCAUGGAACUUCUGAUUACCGUGAUGAAGAAUGGAGAAGGCCUCCAGUUGACAGUGAAUAUGGGAGUCGUGUACAUAGAUCUGGAUCAAGAGAACCUGGAGUGGAUCGGUCUCGGUCGCGAUCAUCUCGUCGCCGAUCACCCGGCAGUGACUCUGAUGGCUCACCCAGGAGAAAUGGUGGUAUGUUGGCUUCUGCCAGAACACUUCCAGAAGUGGUCCGUAAAGCAACAACUGUAUGGAAUGGAGCCCUAAUACUUAAAAAUUCUAUAUUCCCAACUAAAUUCCAUCUAACAGAUGGAGAUUCGGAAAUUAUUGACAGUCUCAUGAAAGAUGAGAAUGGUAAAAAUCAAUUGAGAAUUACACAAAGACUGCGACUUGACCAGCCCAAACUGGAUGAUGUACAGAAGCGCAUAGCCACAUCGAGUUCACAUGCAAUAUUCUUAGGAGUGACUGGCUCAACGGCAUCCAUUACAAACGAGGAUACAUCCAUUCAAACCAGACCCAUGAAGAAUCUGGUGUCGUAUAUGAAACAGAAAGAAGCAGCUGGAGUGAUAUCCCUCUUGAAUAAAGAGACGGAGGCCACAGGAGUUUUGUACUCAUUCCCUCCAUGUGAGUUUUCAACUGAACUAUUAAAACGGACAUGUCACAAUUUGACUGAAGAAAGUCUAAAGGAGGAUCAUUUGGUUAUAGUGGUUGUGCGAGGUGGUUCAGCAUAAUUUGCUAUUUGUUAUCAAUUAUGUAAUUAAAAUAAAUUUCUUUAAUUUUUUUUAAUUGUCUACAGAAUACUUCAGGUAAUUAUGGUAAUUGUGAAUGUGUAGUGAUGUGAAUAAGUGCUGUACUCACAUUAUAGUAAUGUGUGUGCAAGUGCUGUAUUUACUCACAGUUUCUAAUGAUCAACAUUAGGAGCAUAUUGUUAUUGAAAAUAAUACAAUUGGUUAGUUUCUGCUAGUAUUAAUUAUUGUUUAUUAAAAUUGCAUAAGUGUGUAUUUUUCAUUAUGAUUAUAAAAGUGUAUGUAGUGAUAGGUGAUGUGUAGUGAGUGUGUAUUUAUUAAUAGAAUAUUUCAUUUUAUGUUGUAGUUUUUUUAAACCUGGUGGAUUUGUGCGGUGUAUGAUGAACAGUGGCUCAAAUUUGUGACACCAAAGAAGUGUAUUACUUGUUUGGAAGUGAUACAAUUGCCUAAUUUCCAACUUUCAGGUGAGAUUGCCAAGUGGUCGACCUAUAUGAUAGCAGUGGGACCGCAAAUUCGAUUUGCCCCCAGCUUGCACAGAAUUGACUAAUUCAAGCUGUUCAGGACCUUUUUUUACGGCGAAACAUAAGCGACACCUACAUGCACAAGAUGAAUAAAGAUGUAAAAUUAUUGUAAUAUGUAAGUAUGUACAAUUACAUAGUAUAUAUCAUUCGCCUCACAUAGUCUGUUUUAGAAGUAGAUAUUUGUGCAGUUUUGUAUUUUCAGUCGGGAAAAUGUCUAAUUCUUGUAGAGGCUUCCAUGAGUAACAUCCCAUUUUUUGGUUUCAACAGUUUUGAAAUAUUUAUUGCUACAUUUUAUUUAUUUAUUGCAUGUCACAUAGGUAACAUAAAACCCAGUUCGGGCAUUGCAAUUAAUGGUAGCUACAUAAAAUUUUAUACAAUUACAAACAUUCAAUCAGUAAUUUCUUUCUAUAGUCAUAUAGAAGUAUCAAUUGUUUUCUUUACUAUUAUCCUGAUUGUUAAAUUACUAGAUAGUUCCAAGUAACUAGUUUAUAGGUUAUACGUAACGAAUCUGAUAUCUGUGAUAACUAUUACUGGCCAUGUAAUUUCUACUUAAUCAAUAAAGUACAUAUUUAUUUA